AAGACCCUUCAGCUGCAAACAACAGCUUCCUUGGUAGUGUAUACAGCCUGUUUCUUGUAUGGGCUGCUCUAAGGGACCAUGGAGACAGGC
ensembl:snoRNA SNORA70 Small nucleolar RNA SNORA70